ACAUGCAGUCGAACGAUGAAGUUCUUCGGGGAUGGAUUAGUGGCGAACGGGUGAGGAACACGUGAAGAAUCUGCCCUCCACUUCGGGAUAACACCGGGAAACCGGUGCUAAUACCGAAUAUUGAAAUAUAAGUGGCAUCACUGAAUUUUGAAAGAAUUUCGGUGGAGGAUGACUUCGCGGCCUAUCAGCUUGUUGGUGAGGUAAAGGCUCACCAAGGCUACGACGGGUAUCCGGCCUGAGAGGGCGACCGGACACACUGGGACUGAGACACGGCCCAGACUCCUACGGGAGGCAGCAGUGGGGAAUAUUGGGCAAUGGACGAAAGUCUGACCCAGCGACGCCGCGUGAGGGAUGAAGGCCUUCGGGUUGUAAACCUCUUUCAGUAGGGAAGAAGCGAAAGUGACGGUACCUAAAGAAGAAGCACCGGCUAACUAUGUGCCAGCAGCUGCGGUAAUACAUAGGGUGCAAGCGUUGUCCGGAAUUAUUGGGCGUAAAGAGCUCGUAGGUGGUUUGUUGCGUCGGGUGUGAAAU
rnacentral:rRNA from 1 species